GGUGGAUGUCUUGUAAUUUGGUGUUUGCAGUGUGGUAUUUUAGUUCUAUAUUGAUUAAGGUUUCAUAACUUGGAGUAUGGUUUAGGGAUAGUAGUGAAAAUGGAGCUUGUUGUUUAAGGAUUGUAAUAAGAAAGUAUCUUAUUGUUCAGAAAAUAUAGUAAGUGACCGAAGUUGAUUUAGGUUUUCGUAAUUAAUGCUGAUCUUGGGGCCACCUUCCAUA
rnacentral:lncRNA from 1 species